rnacentral:rRNA from 1 species
UACGAGAGCCCCGAGCGUUAUCCGGAAUUAUUGGGCGUAAAGGGUGCGUAGGCGGUCUGACAAGUCUGAUGUGAAAUCUAUGGGCUCAACCCAUAGUCUGCAUCGGAAACUGUCGGGCUUGAGUAUGGGAGAGGUGAGUGGAAUUUCCGGUGUAGCGGUGAAAUGCGUAGAUAUCGGAAGGAACACCUGUGGCGAAAGCGGCUCACUGGACCAUUACUGACGCUGAGGCACGAAAGCUAGGGGAGCAAACAGG